GUGGUAAUGCCGGAUGCUCCAUCAUACCGCAUGGUGUGUUGGGAAAGCCUUUGCGGCAUGGGAUGGGGUCGCGUCCUAUCAGCUUGAUGGCGGGGUAACGGCCCACCAUGGCUUCGACGGGUAGCCGGCCUGAGAGGGCGACCGGCCACAUUGGGACUGAGAUACGGCCCAGACUCCUACGGGAGGCAGCAGUGGGGAAUAUUGCACAAUGGGCGCAAGCCUGAUGCAGCGACGCCGCGUGAGGGAUGGAGGCCUUCGGGUUGUAAACCUCUUUUGUUAGGGAGCAAGGCAUUUUGUGUUGAGUGUACCUUUCGAAUAAGCACCGGCUAACUACGUGCCAGCAGCCGCGGUAAUACGUAGGGUGCAAGCGUUAUCCGGAAUUAUUGGGCGUAAAGGGCUCGUAGGCGGUUCGUCGCGUCCGGUGUGAAAGUCCAUCGCUUAACGGUGGAUCCGCGCCGGGUACGGGCGGGCUUGAGUGCGGUAGGGGAGACUGGAAUUCCCGGUGUAACGGUGGAAUGUGUAGAUAUCGGGAAAGAACACCA
rnacentral:rRNA from 1 species